rnacentral:rRNA from 1 species
CCUACGGGGGGCAGCAGUGGGGGAUAUUGCACAAUGGGGGAAACCCUGAUGCAGCGACGCCGCGUGUGGGAAGACGGUCCUCUGGAUUGUAAACCACUGUCCCCAGGGACGAAAAUGACGGUACCUGGGGAGGAAGCUCCGGCUAACUACGUGCCAGCAGCCGCGGUAAUACGUAGGGAGCGAGCGUUGUCCGGAAUUACUGGGUGAAAAGGGAGCGUAGGCGGGGAUUCAAGUUGGGUGGCAAAACUACCGGCUCAACUGGGAGUCGCACUCAAAACUGCAGCUCUUGAGUGAAGUAGAGGCAGGCGGAAUUCCUAGUGUAGCGGUGAAAUGCGUAGAUAGUAGGAGGAACUCCAGUGGCGAAGGCGGCCUGCUGGGCUUUUACUGACGCUGAGGCUCGAAAGUGUGGGGAGCAAACAGGAUUAGAUACCCGAGUAGUC